ensembl:miRNA cin-mir-5600 cin-mir-5600
UCGAAACCAAAAUACUCCAGUUUGAUCCCGGUCAACUUACACAAAGUGGAAUGUUUUGUUUCGAAC